rnacentral:rRNA from 1 species
GGUGACGGCGUGCCUUUUGCAUAAUGAGCCUACGAGUUACUUUUACUAGCAAGGUUAAGCACUUCAGGUGCGGAUCCGUAGCGAAAGCGAGUCUGAAUAGGGCGCUUUAGUUAGUAGUGGUAGACGCGAAACCGUGUGAUCUACCCAUGGGCAGGUUGAAGCUUUGUUAACCCAAAGUGGAGGACCGAACCCGUUGACGUUGAAAAGUCUUGGGAUGACCUGUGGGUAGGGGUGAAAGGCCAAUCAAACUCGGAGAUAGCUGGUUCUCUGCGAAAUCUAUUUAGGUAGAGCGUCAUCCGAAUACCCCGGGGGGUAGAGCACUGGAUGGGUAAUGGGGCCCCACAGGCUUACUGAUCCUAACCAAACUCCGAAUACCGAGGAGUACUAGAUGGCAGACACACAGCGGAUGCUAACGUCCGUUGUGAAGAGGGAAACAACCCUGACCUCCGGCUAAGGCCCCUAAUUCAUGGCUAAGUGGGAAAGCAGGUGGGACGACCAAAACAACCAGGAGGUUGGCUUAGAAGCAGCCAUCCUUUAAAGAAAGCGUAACAGCUCACUGGUCUAGUGAUUCUGCGCGGAAAAUAUAACGGGGCUAAGAUGUGCACCGAAGCUUUAGACUUCAGUUUACUGAAGUGGUAGGAGAGCGUUCUAUUCAGCGUUGAAGAUGUACCGGUAAGGAGCGUUGGAGCGGAUAGAAGUGAGCAUGCAGGCAUGAGUAGCGAUAAUUGAGGUGAGAAUCCUCAACGCCGAAAACCCAAGGUUUCCUACGCGAUGCUCGUCAUCGUAGGGUUAGUCGGGACCUAAGUCGAGUCCGAAAGGGGUAGACGAUGGCAAAUUGAUUAAUAUUUCAAUACCAACAAAUAAGCGCGAUGUGGGGACGCAUAGAGUUAAUCGAGCUCACUGAUGGAAUAGUGGGUCGAAGGACGUAGGUCGUAUCUUAGGCAAAUCCGGGAUACACGAGACCGAGAUCUUACAGGCUCUUGACACUCUUCGGAGAAGAUAGAGAAUCGAUGAUACUGUCGUGCCAAGAAAAGCCACUAAGUAUAUUAUUUGUUGCCCGUACCGUAAACCGACACAGGUGGGUGGGAUGAGUAUUCUAAGGCGCGUGGAAGAACCCUGGUUAAGGAACUCUGCAAACUAGCACCGUAUCUUCGGUAUAAGGUGUGCCUACUUUGGUAUAGAGAUUUACUCUCAAAAGCUAAAGAGGUUGCAACAAAGAGUCCCUCCCGACUGUUUACCAAAAACACAGCACUUUGCUAACACGUAAGUGGAUGUAUAAGGUGUGACGCCUGCCCGGUGCUCGAAGGUUAAUUGAUGAUGUUAGGCUUGCCGAAGCAUUUGAUCGAAGCCCGAGUAAACGGCGGCCGUAACUAUAACGGUCCUAAGGUAGCGAAAUUCCUUGUCGGGUAAGUUCCGACCUGCACGAAUGGCGUAACGAUGGCCACACUGUCUCCACCCGAGACUCAGUGAAAUUGAAAUCGCAGUGAAGAUGCUGUGUAUCCGCGGCUAGACGGAAAGACCCCGUGAACCUUUACUACAGCUUGGCACUGAACAUUGAACCUACAUGUGUAGGAUAGGUGGGAGGCUUUGAAGCACAGUCGCUAGAUUGUGUGGAGCCGUCCUUGAAAUACCACCCUUGUAGUUUUGAUGUUCUAACGUUGGUCCCUGAAUCGGGAUUACGGACAGUGCCUGGUGGGUAGUUUGACUGGGGCGGUCUCCUCCCAAAGAGUAACGGAGGAGCACGAAGGUGGGCUAAACACGGUUGGACAUCGUGUGGUUAGUGCAAUGGCAUAAGCCCGCUUGACUGCGAGAAUGACAAUUCGAGCAGGUGCGAAAGCAGGUCAUAGUGAUCCGGUGGUUCUGUAUGGAAGGGCCAUCGCUCAACGGAUAAAAGGUACUCCGGGGAUAACAGGCUGAUACCGCCCAAGAGUUCAUAUCGACGGCGGUGUUUGGCACCUCGAUGUCGGCUCAUCACAUCCUGGGGCUGAAGUCGGUCCCAAGGGUAUGGCUGUUCGCCAUUUAAAGUGGUACGCGAGCUGGGUUUAGAACGUCGUGAGACAGUUCGGUCCCUAUCUGCCGUGGGCGUUGGAAGAUUGAAGGGGGCUGCUCCUAGUACGAGAGGACCGGAGUGGACGAACCUCUGGUGUAUCGGUUGUCAUGUCUAAUGGCACUGCCGAGUAGCUAAGUUCGGAAUGGAUAACCACUGAAAGCAUCUAAGUGGGAAGCCAACUUCAAGAUUAGAUUUCUCUGCCUCGAGCAAUAAGUCCCCAUGGAGACUACAUGGUUGAUAGGUUACAGGUGUAAGAGUGGUGACACUCUCAGCCGAGUAAUACUAAUCGGACGAAUGGA